AGGGUUUGAUGGAGCAGGAACAAUAGCCAGUAAAUGAACAAUCUGUCCAAGACCCCUGAGGAAGUCCACGGAUUGGACGAAACGCGUUGGAUGUUUAUUUUGGGACUUUUAUUUGGUUCUUUGUUUUAUUAUUGUUCAUUUACUGGCUAUUGUUCCUGCUCCAUCAAACCCUUU